rnacentral:rRNA from 1 species
GAUGAACGCUGGCGGCGUGCCUAAUACAUGCAAGUCGAGCGAACAGAUGAGGAGCUUGCUCCUCUGACGUUAGCGGCGGACGGGUGUGUAACACGUGGAUAACCUACCUAUAAGACUGGGAUAACUUCGGGAAACCGGAGCUAAUACCGGAUAAUAUAUUGAACCGCAUGGUUCAAUAGUGAAAGACGGUUUUGCUGUCACUUAUAGAUGGAUCCGCGCCGCAUUAGCUAGUUGGUAAGGUAACGGCUUACCAAGGCAACGAUGCGUAGCCGACCUGAGAGGGUGAUCGGCCACACUGGAACUGAGACACGGUCCAGACUCCUACGGGAGGCAGCAGUAGGGAAUCUUCCGAAAUGGGCGAAAGCCUGACGGAGCAACGCCGCGUGAGUGAUGAAGGUCUUCGGAUCGUAAAACUCUGUUAUUAGGGAAGAACAAAUGUGUAAGUAACUAUGCACGUCUUGACGGUACCUAAUCAGAAAGCCACGGCUAACUACGUG